CAGUUGAUUUGUUGUUGUUUAGUGUGGGAUAAGUGUUGCUCCGGUUACGAACUGGAUAUAUUACGACAGUAUCUACGCAGAAAGGUAUCUUGGUCUGCCAACCCCUGGGGAUAACCUGCGUGGCUAUCAAGCAAGCGAUGUGACCGCCAAGGCUAAGAAGCUCGCCAACAAGAAGUUUCUCGUGGUUCAUGGCACUGCAGAUGACAAUGUUCAUUAUCAGCAGUCGAUGAUGUUGACAAGAGCCAUGGAGGAAGCAGAUGUGCUCUUCAGACAAUUGAGUUACCCUGAUGAGGCCCACGGUAUUGUUGGACUCCGCCCACAUUUCUACCACGCCCUCACAGAUUUUCUUCUCAACGACUGUUUCGAGUCAAACAGCGUAAAGAGAUUGUAAACAGAAUGCUGCAACACAUUCUGAGUGCAAUGUGGAUUCUAUUAAGAAUGCCGCAAUACAUUCUGAUCGCAAUGUGGAUGCUAAGAAGAAUGCCGCAAAACAUUCUUAUCGGAAUUUGAAAUGUGGAUUCUAAACAGAAUGCCGCAAGUGAUUCUUAACAUUUGAGCCAGAAUGCCGCUGAACAUUCUGAGCGUAACGUUAAUUCUAAACAUUAUGCCGCCAGUGAUUCUCGAGGUGACUCUGACUCCACGGAUUUAAAGUAAAAUGCCGUAAAAUAUUGAUUGCAUAUUGCGGGAAAGGAUUUAAAAAAGUGGUUAAAAUGAAGUGCGUAUUUUUUUGCCCUGUAAAAUGAUAAAUGACACUUUAUAUAUCCGAUGUGAACAAUAUUUCAGUGACUUAUUGUAAGAAAAAAGUGGUGGUGAAUGUAAGUUGAACAAAUAUUUAUUGGUUCGAGUAAAAAUGAAUUGUAAAAAGUCAAAUAUUUCAGUGUAAACAACCUCUAUUGACAAGUAAAAAAUAAUGUCUAUUUAGUGAUCGUAUAGUGAUUUUAAAGAUAUACCAGGCAAAAAAAAUUCUGCAUGUGUAUUUUUUUAUAAUCUUAUUUAGUUGAAAGAAAAAAAUUUGUAGAAAAAAAUCUACCUUGAUCAAUCUUCUCGAGCUUUUUUCAUGAGAUGUAUUAUACAAGUGUGAUUUAUAAAGAUAGACCAAGUUUUUAAAAUCAGCCUUUUUUCGACCAAUUUUUGAGGGGCAUCUCAUUAAUUGGUCUCCUGAUAUUAUUUUUAAAAAUUUUUUACAUAUACAUAUAUAGUUCCUAGCUCCAAUUUUUUGGGGUUAUUUAACUUCUGCUUAAACGUUUUAUGAAUUUAGUUAUUUUUUUCCUAAAAAGUUUUGGAAAAUGGUAAUGGGAAUCUUUUUUGUUUAAAAUGAAAAAAUUUCCGAAAAAUACUUUUUUUAGGUUUUACCAAUUUUUGAGGGGCAUCUCUAUUAUUUGGUCGAUUUAUCUACUCAAAUAUUAUUAAAAAAGAAGUAAUGAUUUAUGUUUUAUACAAAUGAGAUUAGCAAAUAUUUAAAGAAAUGCAAACGCUUGAAUUCGACCAAUUAAAAAGGGGCAUCUCUUUAAUUGGUCGAAGUACCUUAUUAAAACAACAAAUAGUUCACUGUAAAUUUUUUUUAUCCUGACAAAUAAUAUAUAUAGUGCCUUAAUCAUUU
rnacentral:lncRNA from 1 species